rnacentral:rRNA from 1 species
UAUGGCAUAAAUCAAGUACCUUAAAGAUUCCGAACCCAUGCCGAACACAGAAGUUAAGCCCUAGAACGCCGGAAGUAGUUGGGGGUUGCCCCCUGUGAGAUAGGGAAGUCGCUUAGCU